GUGCGGUGAUGACCCCCACAUGCCAUCUGAGUGCUUACGUUGAAAUCCAGAGGGAAAAAAAAUAUAUCAUUG
rnacentral:snoRNA from 1 species